rnacentral:misc_RNA from 1 species
UCAAACUUGGUCAUUUAGAGGAAGUAAAAGUCGUAACAAGGUUUCCGUAGGUGAACCUGCGGAAGGAUCAUUAUUGAAAUACAACCUCGAGGGUUGUUGCUGGUCUCUAUUCGGGACACUGUGCACGCCCUUGAUAUUAAUCCACAUACACCUUCUGUGCAUUUUGCGACGAAAAAAAAAAGGAAGGGGGGAGUGCUUUCACUUCCCCCCCUUUUCGUCGUUCUUUUCUACAAACAACGUCGUUCAGAAUGUACUUUGUUAUCAAACAUUUUAAUACAACUUUCAACAACGGAUCUCUUGGCUCUCGCAUCGAUGAAGAACGCAGC